CGCGAAAGUAGGAGACCCAGCACCGAAAGAAAGGAAAAACUUCGCGAUCAGUUACAACCGCAUCCCCUUAAGUCGUCUGCAAGCUCUGGACAAAUUCUGGGUGGUCUUGGCGGGAUUUGCAGCAUUUCCUUUCGCUCAUCCUGGCCGUCGAAUCCAUCCGACGGCAGCCAGCCGAGCACACUUGUCCUAUAGAGAAGGUGCUGUAAGGUUUUUUUUGUUUUUUUUUUUUGGUCCUUGUGAAUUUUAUUUUUUUUUUGUGUUUACGUGCUUGCUCUGCAGACAUGGUUGGUGCCAUUGCUGCCUAGCAAGUUGUUCGCCGGUCACCUCAAGAACAGGCUUUUGCUCGCUCCUUUUCUCGGCUCUUCCAACUUUUUUCUAAGUGGAAGAGCACUUUGAUCCGGAAGCGCCAGUAAUCUAAUCGCUAGCUCCAAUGCUGCCACGGAGUUUUCUAUCAAUCCAUCGCGAGAGGGGUGUGUUUGGCGCUUUCGAUAGCUCACGUCUGGCUAGCCAAGGAGCGCGAGUUUUUUUUGGAGAUCAUGGAUAGAAUUCACAAAGAGUGUUAUUUACCUGUGGAAUGGAGAGUACAAAUUUUUCUUUUCUUUACACGAGAGCGAGGAGGAGAAACACAAAUGCUGCACGCUCGAGAGAAUCGAGAGUGUUAUUUGGAGGGCGCUAUCCUCUGAUCGAGAGAACCAAGCGAUAGAACCAAAAAGAAAACGUUGGGAAGAACUACAACGAGAAAACGAGAAAAGGGGAAAAAACUGCUCACAACUUCCACAAACCUGGGGAAAAUGCUGCCUCGCCUACAAACAAUCUUAUGGAGGAAUCGAGAUCGCCAAAUGGAAGGAGGAGGAAGGAAUCCAGCGGAAAGAAAGAAAGAAGUCCAAGGAAGAACGACGAAGAACUCUUCUCCUCCCCGCUUUUGUGCUGCUGCUACUUAUACUAGACCAGUGAAAAAGAAUAAAAAUCCCUCCUUUCGCUCCAAUCCACCCCUCCCCAUUCCAUUUGGGCGAUUCCCUCUUCUCCCAUGCUCCAAUCUAGUAGGUCUUGUAUGGAUCCUCUGCGAGGAGCUGCCUGGUGGUGGCAUCCAUCUUCAAUCCCAGAUCCAUGACGUGCUGCUGCUCCGCGAGGGAGAGAUCAUCCAUCUCCAUCGCCGAAGACAUGGCCCCUGCUCCAAUUCGUGCUCCCUGCGCUGCCAUGGGCAUCGCCGCCGCGAUGACAAUGCCAAUCAGCAGCACCAGCGCUGAGAUCUUCCUGAGAAUCGCCUGCAAUGCCAUCGCGCCGAAGAGAUUUCGCUGCGGGCUGGAAAGAAAUUCUUCCCUCACUCUCUCGCACAGAGCUCUCUCUCUCUCUCCCUGGCGAAAUAGGGUAAGCCCAGGGCCGGGUAUUUAUCUUCUGCAAUUACUCCACGUCGAAGAAAUUACCCAGUCCCUCCCUGGGCCGGGGAUUUUCUUCACACACGCUGAGACACGCUCUUUGUUUUUACGUGGGGUAAGUCGCGAAGUCCCGCCAUUGGGCCAGCUGUCAAAGUCUCCUACUGUAACGUAGUUAUAUGUGUAACUACCAUUUUAGGUCAUCUUUUACGUUACAUUCUACGGAAUAUUUCCCUGCAUGACGACGGCUGAUCUCAGCCGUGGGUUCCUUAGCGUACGGCAGGCGUACGAAGGGGAUAUUCUUGGGGCAUAUGCUGAUCCCACGGCGGUCGCUGUGAUGGAGAUGGUUGUUGCGCCGGCUACGUGCCACGAUGGGAACGACGCAACAACGCAAAGUUUUAAUUUUUGUGCGACAACGCGUCUAUUUUUUUUUUUGGUACUUAGUUCUUUUCUAUUUGGAGUUCUUUUCUUUGGGUUUUUAUUCGCUACAACGUGUUUCCAAUGGGGACAGCAAUGCUUAACUUCAGUGUUUAUGGACGAGCUUGGGAAUUCUGUGUUGGCCUUUUCCUGGAGGGUUGGGCCUUGUCUAUAAUGAGUGAUUUCUUUGGUUGAGACGUGUGUUUGGAGACCUGGCGGUGGUACAAGGAACCCUAAAAAAUUCCUGGAUCUUGGAGCUUUCUAGAAACUUUUGGAUGGACCAAUUCAAAGCUCUCCCCUUUUCUUAAUUCGUAGAAACCCUAAUAGGAGGAACCCUAAAGCUAGCAUUUGCAUUUUUCCUAUCCUACAUUUGAUCAGGCUCUCUGCAGGGAAUGUCAUGAGCUACCAUCGAUCAAUCAACCCUCGGUCAGUACUGGAGGAACAUCCACUUCAAGAGAAUGCCUGUCGAAAAGCUCAAAGAACAACCAACCGAUCGAUCUCUCGAUCGCGAGAAAAGCGAGAAAAAGCUAACCUUCCCAGCGCGUCGCCUCGGAGCUCACCGCGAUCCCGGUCACCAGUCGCGCCGCCGCCGUGGCGCUGUGCUUGGGCACCAUGGACGAAAUCCCCCUGUGGAUCCUGGAAACAAAAUCUCCUUUGUGCUCGAUCGAUCGAAUCCAUGCACUGGAAAUUCACCUGAUCCUGGCGCUCGCCUGCCCCUCCGGCGAUGGGAUCGCGAUCGAUCGCCGCAGUGGCCGCGCGCCUGGAAUCCCGAGCUGGGGAAGCCUCCUCAAUUCUAGCCGCCUCAUCACUCUUGCCGCCAUCGCUUUUCUUCUAUAGAGCUUAUAAACCCUAGGGUUUUAGACUAGGGCUAUGGCAGCGGCCAAUGUAGGUCGCAUGGCGGGGCGCUUCGCCUUCCGCGCUCGCGCUGCCAGGCCGCAAUUCCAUCCCAGGUCCUCCGGCGCCCAACCGCAGUACCAGUUCCAUCGAUCGUUGCCUCGAUCGUUCGAAGAAGCUCGAAUCAAGACCAGGUAUACAUUUAUUUCUCUUCUGGCAUUCUUUCGAUCGAAUUGCCAGGCUUCGUCGGGAGCUCGUGUCGCUGUUUCCUUUGCACAAUGCCACGGCCUCGUCCAGGCUCGUCUCGCUGAUUUCCGGUGGAUCCAAGAGCCUAGAAUGUAAGGAAAAUUCUUUCUUUGUCUUUGUUUGCUAUGAAGCUUGCUUGCAUUGUUGUUUGUUUCUUCCCUUCGGAUCUGGGGGUGGUCUCUCGCGCUUUCUUGCGGCAUUUUUUUUUUUUUUUUUCAUGCGCGUUUUCGGGUUGCAGGCAUUUUCUUGAAGUGGGUGUCUCUCGAUAAUUUCAGGCCGCUGCUACAGUCGAGGGGACGAUGAUGGCUGAGUCUCUCAGAAUUUAGCACACUAUCCUUGGAGUCCAUCGUCCGUUGUCACAGAUGAAUCUGUGGCUUUAAUUUCCGUGUUUUUUCUUUCCUGUUCUUGUCUUCCCUGAGCUAUGAUCACCAGCUAGAGGUACCUGUAUCAACCCAGGUUUUCAGGCAAAACGAAUUUUUUCAUUUCGUCGAGCUUUUCUAGUGCCUUUGUAUUUCCCUGUUUCUGGAUGGUGGUUCAUGUGUUGUGUUUCUCUACCCAGGUUGGCUCCAGCACUGCCUAAGGUCUCCGAAAAGCGUAGCGUCAGAACCGUCACGAGAGCAGUGUUUUGAAGCAUCAAGGUUCUCUCUUCUUUUCAUUUCGUUGUUCUUUCGCUUCUUUUCCAUGGCAUGUUUUACUGGUCUCUUCCUGCCAGGUGAUGCUAUUGAAUUCUUGAGGUGCGUGGAUAGUCUUCUUUGCUUGUUGACAAGAUUGGCGAGAGUUUAUCAUCGCGAAUAACAAGAGCUUUUUCUUCAGUGUUAUCUCUCGGCCAGUCGGCAUUAAGUUCCCAGUCAGAAACGAUAAGAGAGGGUGUGGGGUUUAGACGUGUUUUGGCUAUGGCUGCGAGAUUGGUGGUAGCAGGGCGAGUAGCAGCUCCUCCCGCCCGACUACUUUCGCCCUCUCCUCGCGUCCAUCGAGCUACAUUCGUCACAACGUCCCGCUCUUCUGGUGGUUUUCAUUUGGAGCAGGAUGGAUUAUCCUCUUCCAGCUCACGGUCUUCUUGCUUUUCCUCCUUCCAGUUCCUGUUUCUCGGUCUCUCACGAAAAAGCUUGUUUGUCCUUCCAGGUCUGCUGUACCUUUGUCCCCUGUCCCCAAGAAACGUAAUGCUACGAGGAUUUCGCUGGGAGCAGCAGUGCUUCGCAACUUUCAAGGUUUUGCUCGCUGUAAAUGCCUCGGUGAGGCAUUUUAAAGAGUGUCUAGCUAAAAGUUCGAGUUUUUCUCCAGCAGGAUUCGAGCAUUUCAGCCGUCUCAAGGAUGAUGGGUGAUGUAGUAAGAUUGAUUCGUUUCUCAUUUACUCACUGUGUGCUCUUACAGUUGAGAAGAAGAACAAGAAGCUAUGGAGGAUGCCAAUCUCUUGACUUGUAGCACGGUCACGGUUUGACGAAAUUUGAGCUCUUUUUCUUUUUGUUCUACUGAGGGUUUGAUAGGGUUUUGUAGCUUAGGAAUGCAGAGGAUUUCCAGUCCAGACGUAAGGAGCUCCCAACAGCGCACGCUCGAGAGACUGGAAAAAGCCAAGAGGAUUUUCAUUCUGGUGUCCGAAUUGAAGGCUUGCAGCAGCUCUAAGGACUUGGACAGAGGUAGGAAAAUCCAUGCCCGAGCUGUAGCAACUGGAGAGAGCUCCAACAUCUACGCAGCGACAACUCUCAUCAACAUGUACUGCAAAUGUGGAAGCCUGGUGGACGCUCGCAGCGUGUUUGACAGAAUGCCACUUUGCAACGCCGUGGCAUGGACUGCUCUCAUGCUGGGUUAUGCGGAGAACAGCUUGGAGGAACAGGCCUUGGAACUCUUCUCCGCUAUGCAGUCGCGGACAUUUAGCUGCGUCCCUGACUCGCGCACCUUCGUGGUGGCUCUCAAGGCGUGUGUUGGACUGGCAACGAAGGAAGCUGUCCAGGACAUCAACGGGAAGCUUGUGAAGAUGAAGUCACUGGAGAAAGGAAUGGCUGUUCACCACCAAGCCGUAAGAGUAUUACAGGGAGCUUUAGCUAUAGCACAAGAUAUCUACCUGGGAAGUGCGCUCGUCAACUUUUACGCAAGAUGUGGGGACUUGAGCAGCGCUAGCAGAGUUUUCGACGAGAUGUCGAGCCGGAAUGCUGUCGCCUGGAACGCUCUGAUGCUCGGGUAUACGGAGAGUGGCGAUUCGGAGCGGGCUUUGGAGCUGCUGGAACGGAUGCUGGGCGAGGGUUGCACUCCCAACGCCAGGAACUUCGUGGCGGCGUUGAAGGCCUGCUCGAGUUUGGCCGGGGACGAGGCUGGCAGCAAAGUCGAUGGGAAACUCGUCAAGGUGGUGUGCUUGGAAAAAGGCGUGGCCGUGCACUCGCAGGCCGUCAAGUAUGGCUGCGAGGCGGACAUCUUCGUCGGGAGCACGCUGGUGGACGUCUACUCCAAGUGUGGAAGCCUCCUCGACUCUUGGAGAGCUUUCGAGCGAAUGCCGAGGCGGAACGCGGUGUCGUGGAACUCACUGAUGCUGGGGUAUGCCGAGAACGGGGAGCCGGAAGCAGCACUCGAUUUGUUUGUCCGCAUGGCCAACGAAGAAGACGAAGCUAGUCCAGACGAUCGAAGCUACGUUGCCGCGCUCAAAGCCUGCGUUAUUCUGGCAGCCAAGGAAGAGGAAGGCCGCGGAGAGAAGCUGGUGAAGGUGGCAGCGCUCGAGAAAGGGAUGGCUAUUCACGCUCGAGCUGCGAGUAAGCACUUCGAACGGGAUAUCUUCGUCGCCAACAUGCUCGUGGACAUGUACUUCAAGUGUGGAAGUAUGGCGGACGCUUCCCGAGUCUUCGGCAGGAUAGAGAAUCCGACAGUGGUUUCCUGGACGUCGUUGAUACUGGGAUACAUCGACAACGGCGAAGGAGCUCUGGCUCUCAGGCUCUUCGAUCAGAUGCAAGCUCGGGGUUGCCGGCCGAGUGCUCAGACUUUCGUGGCCGCGAUGAGAGCUUGCACUUGCGAGGCUUCGAAAGAAGGUGGCGAUGGGAAGCUUGUCAAGAAGAAACAGUGGCUGCAGCGCGGGAUGGCCGUCCACGAUCAGGCAGUAAAGCGGGGACUGGAAUCCAACAUCUUCGUGGCAAGCGCAGCGGUGGAUCUCUGCUCCAAGUGUGGCAGCAUGGACAACGCCCGGAAGAUCUUCGAGCAAAGUCCCUCGAGCCACGGUUUGGCCUCGUGGAACGCACUGAUGCUCGGCUACGUGGAGAACGGCGACGCAGCAUCGGCACUCGGCUUGUUCUCGCGGCUCCAGCGGCAGAAAAACUCGUGGAGCUCGUCACCCAACGCUAGAACUUACGCUGCUGCGCUCAAGGCCUGUGGAGCUCUCGGUCUUCUCAGCUCAACCAAGCUCGUCCACGCGGAGAUCUGCCGCUGCGGAGCCUCGUCCGACGCAGUGCUGGCCAACUCGCUCGUCGACGCCUACGGCAAGUGCGGCGGCCUCGACCACGCGCAGCAAGCUUUCGACUCCAUCGCCAGCCCGGACGCCAUCACCUGGAACGCGCUCAUCACGUCUUACAGCUCCCAGGGAGACACCAACCGAGUUUUCCAGCUCCUGGGCGAGAUGCUAGGCCGGGGAUGGGAGCCGAGCGCCGUGACUUACACCUCGCUGCUCAUCGCGUGUAGCCGCGGGGGUCUGGUGGAUCGGUGUUGGAAGUUCUUCCGGGAGAUGGAGUCCAAGCACGGGGUGGCUCCUCGCAUCGAGCACUACCACUGCGUGAUGGACACACUGGGGCGAGCCAACCGGGUGGAGGAGGCGGUGAGGCUGGCGGAGGAGAUGCCGUUUGAGCCGAGUGGAGUGACUUGGACGACGGUGUUGAGCGCUUGCGAGAGCGUGGAGGCCGGGAGGGGCGCGUUUGGAUCGUUGCUCGGGAUGGAGGAGGCGGACAGGAAGGCUGGCUGCGCUCUCAUGUCCAACUUGUGUAGUAGUAAAAUCUAAGUCACACGUCCUUUUAAAUAGCUGAUAACUAAAAGCUUUUCACUCUCUGAAGCUCGUAUCGUUUAAUGGUAGCAAUAUAAUAAUUUUUUUAAAUGUAGAAUUGUGUAGUUAUAAGAUUAAAAGAAGUGGUCUUCAUCCAGUUGGUAGAGGUACAAUCAGCAAAAACCAUGAGACCUAAAAUUUGAUAAAGCUCAUCACGGAUAUGUUAGUCCAGUAACUUCAAGACUUGGGCUUUUUCUUUGCAGGAGGUUCUUCUUCCACCAUCGUCUUCUUAGCAGCCUCAAUCCAUCGCAAGGCACCACCCGAGAGGCGCCAGUGGCGCUCGUGCUUCAAAAUCCACAGGACUCAAAUCCCAGGCCUUCCAAACGCCAUCUUCAUCGCCCGGGCUUCCAUCACCUCUGCCUCCAUCGCAUCCCUGUAGCUGUGGCCUCUGCGCCCCCUUUAAUGGUGCCAUGCAAGAGUUCGGCGUCCGCUCGCUUCAACACAGAGCUCACUCCUGGGAAAGAAGUUAUGCAGCACGGCUCCUUGUCCACGGGGGAGCACGGCAGCAAGAAGUACUGGAAUGAUCUGAGCAGCUUUGGCUUUUCUGUCUUCGUCUUAAAGUCCAGAGGAUCCCAGCACUAGAUGAAGUCGUGGCACGCAUCAGCGCAAAGUCGCAGCCCUCGUCCCUGGAUAUGUUUUUCAGAUUGUACCGUGGCUUGUCUGCCAUAUCGAAGUGCUCUGGUCGGACAAAAUCUCCAUUCAGGCACCGGGUACACGACUUGGUCACACGAGCAGAUGUAAGGAAGAAGUGGGGGCUGAGUGCUAUGCCACUGCCAAAGCUAACGAUCCCACUCUCAUGUGUUGCACGAAUGGCCUCCUUGAGUAUAGCUGGUUUUCCAUACACUGAGCUGCCCAAUCUGGGUGGAUCACCCGCUGGGAAGAUAACCGUGCCCGAUUCAAAGUCGACGCCCAGAAUUCUAUUGAACUUACCUUUCCUAGAUGGAUCUGUCUCCUUGACCGCUAAAGUUUCUAAAACCUUCUCUUGAAGUUUUGCCUGUUCUCGGCCAAUAGCCGAAUCUAUAGGUGCAUAGUAAAUAACAUAAGGCUCCCCACGAACAAGGCUCUUCCAUAACAAACCCUAGCAGGAAUUAGACCUUCCUUUUAUAGCUGUGUGCGGGUAAAGGUUUACCUCCUUAACCAGCCCAUUAUGAUAAACCUGAGACGAGAGUCGGCGUCGAAGUUUUGCAGGAGCUGGUCUUCCUGAGCUCUACGCGAUGGGGAUCCAGGUCCGCGCCGAGCUGCCAUGGAAGAAGUCGAAUAGAGGAGUGUGGAGUGCGUGUCCGAGCUUGUGCUGCUUCCGCCAGCUUCUCAUUUGAGAGAGCUUGAUUUAGCAUUCAUUCAGUCUAGUUGUCUCUGGCUUUUGAGGAGUUGAAUUUGAGGGCGCAAUAGUAAUAGGGGCUCGUUUGAAGAUUGUUCCACCUGAAGAAGACAAGGCAGCGGCAACUCCAGCACAAUAAUCUCUCGGAUCCUCUCUCCCGAAGGGCUUCAAGUGAAGAAGUGUGUUUCGUUCCAGGAAAACCAGACUUUCUUUUCCAGCUUUGGUUGACACGACCGAGGUGGCGGACACGAGCAACGUUUUUUAUAUGAAAAAAAUCAUACCAUUGAAGAAGGGAGAGAGAUUCGUCAGGACAUUCCCUUAAAGAGGAAGAAAAUUUCUCCUUAAUAAGGGUAGGAAUGGAACGCAGUAGGGUUUGCAAUGCGGGAGCCUUUCGGGUAUGUCUGUGAUCUGCCUUAUUAUGUAACUCCUAGUAUCCAGCAGAUGUGUCGAGAAGAACAAAAGCUCCUGAAAGAGGUUUCAGGAGAGGUAGCAGUGAAUCUAGGAAGGGAAAGUUUAGUAGAGUUUUGGCGGUUGACUAUGAAUCAGGCACUGUUAUUUUCCCGAAGGAUGAUCUUCUAGUUCUACAAGCCCAAGCUGGUCAGUAUAUGGAAGGAAUCCAACUAUACUCAAGGAAGCCAUUCGCGCAACACACAGGCUCCAAAGUGUGGAUGAGGGUAGGAUGGUUCACUUCGGCAGUGGCGUGGCGCUCAGCCCGCAGUUCCUCCUUACAUCUGCUCGUAUGGCCAAGUCGUCUACCCAGUGCCUGAAUGGCGAUUUUGUGCGAUCAGAGCACUUCGAUAUGGCAGAGAAGCCACGGUACAAUCUGGAAACUGUAUCCAGGGACGAAGGCUGUGAUAUGGUGCUGAUGCGUGUCAAGACUUCAAGCGCUGGCGCGACUCUAGAGAAGGCAAAGCUGCUCAAGUCUUUCCAGUACUUCCUGCUGCCAUGCUCCCCAGUGGACAAGGCGCCAUGCUGCAUAACUUCCUUCCCGGGUGUGAGCUCCCUGUUGAUGCGAGCGGACGCAGACCUCUUGCACGGCAUCAUUCAUGGAGGUACUGAGGCUAGUCUCGGGGGCAUUUACAGGGAUGCGAUGGAGGCAGAGGCGAUGCAAGUUCGAGCCAUGCAUCAGUACAAGCCAUAACGUUCGUAGAUCAUUACCAAAUCUCGUCAAGUUCCACUGAUUCGAGGCCGGGAUGCGACGCACUUGAUUUUCUUGGGACGGUAACUCAUUCUUUUGUCUUUGCUGUUCUUUGUCCGUAUCAGUCAGUGAGUGACGCAAGACCAGAAAUCUGGCGAAAGCCACGGUAUGCCCCAUCGGGCGCCACGGAGACCAUAAAAUCUUUUCUUCUUCUUCUUUGUCUCGUUUUUCUUUUUUUUACACUUAAACUUAUUCUUUGCAGGCUCCUUCCCGCGCUCUUUUACAACAACGUUUUGGCUAGCAUGCCCCACUGUAUAAAAAUCUGUAUGUUCGUGAUUGGACAUCUCCAGAUCGUGUAGAUGUAUGGCUCCUUGCCUAAGCUCAAUAUUGAGCUCAAUCGAAGCUAUUGUGGAGACAAUAUCCUGUCAAGAGAACAGUCUCUAUAACUUUUACCAGGCUUGGAACUUAAAGGAAGAGAGAAAAAGGUUUCCUGGGAUUUUAGAAUCUUUCACGUAUCAAUUAUCGCAGGAAAAUUUCUUUCGUUUAGUCAUGUAACAUGACUAAACCUCUGGGCUUUCCUCUCUAGUGAGAUUCAGGAAGAACGAUAACAGUGGCUUAUGUUCUUUCCUAGCAGGUUGUAGAUCAAACAGAUUCAAGUAGAGCAGUAGCCUCAAGGAGUCUUCAUUCGCAGCAAGCGUAUGUUUGAUUUUUCUUAGAAUAUUUCUCAUUGUGGCAUUUUUGGUCUAGAUAGUGGAUCUACGUAGAAAGCUUCAUCUCACAUUGCAAAUUGCAACAUCAAGUAACACCAUUUCGAUUUCCUUUUACCAUGCCAGUUGGUUUUCUGGUGUUCUUUUUCCAAUCACAGCAAACAAAAUGAAACAGAACGAAAGCUAGAGCUCCAUAAAAAAUCAAGCGUACUCGAUGCUAGCCCCCUUGAACGUGAAGACUUUCUCCUUGUCCUUCCCGCGCGGCACCAGAGUGACAACGAGCUUGUCCGCGUCCUUCAAGCCCAAGAUCUCGACGUUGGGCUUGAUGGAGAAGCGGGCGUUGGUGGUCCGAGUGCUCGACUCGGUCAUCCCGGGCAUGAAGUGGGGGAUGUUGUAGAAAGAGCCAACGUACUCGGCGCAGGAGAGCGUUGUGGUCUCGUUGGCCUCAGGGAGAUUGAUGAACACGUUGAAGUUAGUGUUAUUCUGCAUCCCAACCACCAUCUCUUCCAGGACCAGGAGCUCGUCCGAAGCGCUGCCUUUGGGCUGCGCCACCGUGAUCGUCAGCGGGCCCGCUCCAACCUUGACAGGCUCGGCGUUCUGGGACGAGGAUUUCACGAGUGGAUACUCAGCCGCCAUAGCAGUAGCUCCAGGAACCAACGAAGCAACGAUCGAACUCUUGGGCUGCGCGAAGGCCGUCUUUGCGAGCGGCAGUGGCUUGUAGUUGAUCCAGACCUUGUCCUGGGGCAUGGACGCGUACUUGUACUUGAGCUUCGUCUGGUUGUCGAUGGAAUCUUUCACCUUGACGCGAACGAGGUCCUGGUUCUCAUCGAAGAAGAGGAACUCGGUGUUGAGGUAGUCGGCGUCCGUGAAGUCCUGGUUUCCCAGGGACCUCCACACGUCCCACAUCCUGUCCACGUUACCGUGGUGGCAGUAGAAGAGUGGAUCCUUCCCGGCAGAGUAGAAGUUGCCCAGGUCCUCGCCAUUGGGGUUAUUGGGGCUGCCGCCAAAGAUGUGCACGGCCGUGUGUGGGGCUUUCUCCAGAGAUCCAUCGGCACCGUUAUUGUUCCCUUUCCUGCAUAAGACAUGGCUCCGUCACCUUUUUCUGGCCAUGCACACGUACCUUAUGGGAGCGCCGAAGAAGGCGUCCCGGAGCUUGACCUUAGCGACGUUGUUGUACAUGACGGAGAUGUUGUCCUGGCGGAUCUGAUCGUCGGUCUUGUAGGUGGGCUCGCCGAAGCUGGGGUCGACGCCGGGCGCGUAGCCGAGAUCCACUCGCGCGGGCGCGUAGUUUGCCUCGUUGCGAUUGGCGUCGAAGAUGGGGGUGCCCUCGCGCCGAAACAUCUCCGGGAUGUAGCUCCCCCCCUCCUGGUUGUCCCAGUUCCAAAACGGCAGCGCGAAGGUUGGAUCGUUGAUCAAGCUGCCCAGGAUCUUCUCGUGGUAGUAGAGGUACCAGCGGUGCCACGGCAGGAAGAGCCAGUUGAAGUGGAUCUGGAGCGUUGACUUUGGAUCGCCCUCCUGGCGGUAGCCGAAGUUGCAGUAGACGCAGUGGACGUUUGCCUGCUGCCGGAAGCUCCGGGGAUCAUCCGAGGGAAGCGCGCGCAUCUUGGCGUAGGCCUCGUUGUACUUCUGGAUGUAGUCCUCGUCCACGAGAUGGGCGGCGGGGCGGGUGCGCAUGGGGCCGGUGUCGGGCUUGAAGUCGAUGGUGUCGCGCUUGGGCUUGGGCGGGCAGCACGCCACGAAGGUGUUGGUGUUGGCGAUGUUGGCGGGCUGGCAGCGCUUGAAGGUGGGAGAUCCCACGGGCUCGGCGAGCGCGGGACCAGUAGGGGACGCUGCGAGCGAAGCUCCGCCGGCGAUUGUUCCCGCCAGGAGCUCGCGGCGAUCGAUGAUCGAGGCCGGAGUGGAGCUACCUUUCUUGGAGGGGAAAGAGGGAUUACCAGACUCCCCUGUUGCUGCAUUGGCUUCUUUCCUGGCAUUGGCGGUGAUCUUGAGCGUACCCCGGGAGCGAUUGGGCAGAAGUGGGCAUCGGCUCCGGUGCUGGAGCUUGACGCGAUCGAGCGAGAGUGCCGCGGAAGACAUGCCCAGCAGCGAAUCCAUGCUGGAUGAGAGAUUCCAAACCUCGACUGACGACGUCGUAGGAAGCGUACCUUUUUAAAGGACGAACAAGCUCACAUGACUCUCGUGGGAGUAGUGGCGAUAAUAUUUCAGACCAAAGUGAUCGGACUUUGAUCCACGAGAACCCCGUGUCUCUUAGAAUUCUUAUCAAAACUGCCACGUCAUUGCAGCCUUUAGUAGGGUUACCGUCUUUUCAGGAGACGAGCAAAGAUAUGCUUGAAACAGCAGUGAAUGAGGGGAAUUCGUAAUUGGCGUAAGUUUAUUUGAUAUCCAUCUGCACGGUAGCAUUUCCACGGUACGGCCCAGCUUGUUCUCUGAUUCCGUUCGCUUUGAACUGUAGUUGCCACUUUCUUGAACAAGCCAUGUAAAGCUUUUAGCAGAACAUCGCCACAAGGUAAACACUUAAAUUACCUUCGCCUUUGAUAGGCUAGGUUGUGUUCGAAGUGUUUUUUGAGCCGCUGCUCACCCACCUUUUAAACGGGUCGAUUGCCACAUUCAUGGAAAUCCGGACAUUAGUCGUCACCUUCGCCUACAACAUUCGAGGUACGUGCUGAAUGAAUCUCACGCUUGACUGUUCGAUUUGUGAGAGCUUAAGGAGCUCCGGGAAAGCACCAAAGGUACAAACAAGAGCCGAGGGGAGGGAGUUGGCCAGGCGUUUCCUAGGCUUGGGUUUCGUAGCAGUUUGAUCGAUCAUGUGGUGUAGCUCGCACCAGUGUCGUCAUGCAUAUACCACGCCCCGUUACUGUGGAUCAUAAAAGAAAGCUCGAACUAAAGAGAAGGAAAAACAGAGAACACGAACUCGAGUUGGCCGGGCGACGACUUCGUUCCUGCCACCUUAACGGAAAAGGGACGUCGAGGGGGCUAGGGCUUGAUCCAAGGUGACCACUCUGACCGUACGCCUGGAUCAUCGAGUUCCAGGACCUCUCGGCAUUCGAUCAAAUACUCUCCUAGCGUCCUCCAGGUGACCGCUCUCAGCGUACACUGCGAUCAUUGCGUUCCACGGGUUUGUGUAGCAGCCUUGCUUCUCGCUCCUCCCUGCUCCGACCAAAGAUCAUGGAGUUCCAAGACGUGACAUCCGCCAAAACGCCAGCUUGGCAUCGCUGAUAUGCCGGGCAUGGGCAUAUCCCGUCCAAGAGAUGAUAAUCUUCCAAGGCAUUUGAUCAGAAAUUCCCUUGGCUUCCUCCGCAGAUUGACACUGCACGCAAGCCAGAAUUGCUGCACCAAGUCCCGGCAAGGCACUUUUUCAAAGACCCUGAUACAAUCCUCUUGGUGCCCAGAUUGGGCAUAAGCUGCUGAUCUUGUGUUCCACGAUGUUAUAUCCCUUCUCGGAAUUUCUGGGAAGAGGCUCAAAGCUACCCCACAUGACCGUCUAUCCAUACGCUACUCGUAUGGUCGUCCUCGCCACGGCAUCCUUGUGAGAAAUCCAUCAAACAGCCUUCUCGCUAGAACCAUAUACCUGUUGUGGGAAUACGCUGCUACCAUGGUCGUCAAAGAAACGCCGUCUUUCGGUGGCAUCUGAUCGCAUCACAGCCUUGCAGUGUGAUACUAUCCAGCGGUGUAAUACGCGGUGAUAAUAGAUGCCCAUGAUGCCAAUCCCAAAACGGCAUUCUAUCAAAGAGCCACUGUGAUCGAUCGAUAUGCCGAAGCUGGGCAUUUUCUUAGACCAAAACGUUCCAGGAUACUUGAUCCUUCUCUAGAACAGCGAUGGCGUGCAAUAGUUCUUCUUCGCUUUCAGGAACUAUAGAGCGUCUUAUCGUGAUGUUUCUCCUCAAGAUCAUACAUUGCAACCAAUGAUGAUCCCACGCUCUGAGACGCGCUUGGCAUGGCCACCGGUAGAUCACCGGUUCCGGGACAAGAGCGCUGGAGAGCUCGCAUUGUAUGGCGGGAUUGCCGUUGUCGGGUUUGCGAUUGGAGGUAGUGUGCCGAGCUCGCUGGAAAUCUUGCUGCUGGUUCCCGAGGCGCUCCAGGCAAUAGGCAGUGGGCGUGGGCUACUCGAUCCUCAUCGCUGGUAAGCGAUCAUAUGAUCCAUCCCCCUAUUUUCCUCGCAUUUUUUCUUUUGAAUGUAAAGUUUUCUUUUCCUGAUAAUCCCUUUCGUUUCCCAGUUGUUUUUUUUUUCCAGCGAUGGUGGAGGGAGCACACUCGUGCGAAGCAAAAAAUCGUGCAUCGAAUGGUUGAGUGGAGCUAUACCAAAUGAUAAACUUGAGACGAGAGUCCCGAUCGCCAGCGUCAAAGUUUUGCUGGAAGAAGUUGAGGAGCGCGACGGUGAUGUUCGUGGCCGAGCUUGGCAUCGUCUUGUGCUGCUUCCGCUAGCUUCUCAUUCCGAAAGGAUCCGGAAAACUAGACUUUCCAGGCAUCUUUUCCAGCUUUGCUUGACACGAUCGGGGUGACAUACAAUCUCUGCCUUGGGAGCGGACACGAGCAAGGAUCGGUACGGUUUUUAUAUGCUAGGAAGGCGAAACGCCAUAGACUUUGUGAGUGAUUGUUGUCUCUUAACUCUCUUCUCACUCCAAGAACGCGAAAGUAGGGGAGCACCGAAAGAAAGAGGGGAAGAACCUCGCGAAUCGCUGAUCCUCCUUUGCAGCAUUCGUCCAUCCAUCCGACGGAGCGUUUCUUUUUGCGAUUUCUUUUAUUCUUUAUUUAUUUAUUUUUUGUUGCAGAGGCAUGGUUGCUGCCUAGCAAGUUGCUCGCCGGUCACCUCAAGAACAGGCUUUUGCUCGCUCCUUUUCUCGGCUCUUCCAACUUUAUUCUAAGUGGAAGAACUUCGUCUAUCCACUGAAUUUUACAUACAGAAGGGGUGAUUUGGCGCAUCUCUGAUCUUUGGAUCUUCAUACGAAUUCACAAGAAUGUUAUGGAAUAAAGAGUUCUUUUGAGUGAGGAGGAGAACACAGAAUCGGCACUAUAAACCUGGGGAAAAUGCUCAAAUAAUCUUAAGGCGGAAUCGAGAUAUCCAGGCGCUGAUCUAUGCCUCGAACACCGCCACGGUGAUCCUUGCCGUGUGCUUCUUCGGGAACUUUGUAGAGCGGUGACGUAAUGGCAAGCAGAUCCUUGUGUAAGCGAGUUGACGACGAUACUUGAUCUUCCUCUCUUU
rnacentral:lncRNA from 1 species